CGAUGUCAGUCAGGCAGAGGGAGCUGCUGAUAAAAGAAAGAAGGUUCUGCAUCUAGGCCUGGUGAUGCAAAGAAAACUAAGAGGAGGCUGCAGCCAGCUGCUGGUAUGAUGCUCAAGGAAUUCACUGGUGCCGCGGACCUUGAUGUGGAUACGAAAAGGGAAGGAAGAGGCAAAUCAUCAUCCAGCGUGGCAUCCGGGAGAUCAGAUGAGCUGAUUCGACUUCUGAAAACCCGUCCAGUCCGUAGAGCAUAAUCCGGGAUGCUUCAUUUGUCGCAGCAGCUCGUUGCGUUGACAGUUGAAGAAACGCCAUGAAUCUGUUUAGUUUACUACUACUAGUAGUAGUAGUAGCAUGACGUGAAUGGAGUAAUGGACAUGGCAGUUCGGUUCUCAUUGUAUCUAUCGAUCAAUCUACCUGCUUUGCUUUGCGUGUUGAUUUCUAUCAUCAUUGAUUCGUGCAGUAUUUUUUUUUU